GAUACCCCGAGACAGGAGAUGACGUGGGGAGACUGGUAUUCCUGGUGUAGCGGUGAAAUGCGCAGAUAUCAGGACCUUCACCGGUGGCGAAGGCGGUCUCUGGGCAGUAACUGACGCUGAGGAGCGAAAGCGUGGGUAGCGAACAGGAUUAGAUACCCUGGUAGUCCACGCCGUAAACGGUGGGCGCUAGGUGUGGGUUUCCUUCCACGGGAUCCUUGCCGUAGCCAACGCAUUAAGCGCCCCGCCUGGGGAGUACGGCCGCUUGGCUAAAACUCAAAGGAAUUGACGGGGGCCCGCACAACGGCGGAGCAUGUGGAUGCAUUCGAUGCAACGCGAAGAACCUUA
rnacentral:rRNA from 1 species